UACAGAGACCUCAAGCGUUAUCCGGAAUCACUGGGCGUAAAGGGCGCGUAGGCGGCCUUGCAAGUCGGUUGGUGAAAGCCCGGGGCUCAACCCCGGAGGUGCGGCCGAGACUGCAGGGCUGGAGGCCGGAAGAGGAGGGUGGAAUACCCAGUGUAGAGGUGAAAUUCGUAGAUAUUGGGUGGAACACCGGUGGCGAAAGCGGCUCUCUGGUCCGGACCUGACGCUGAGGCGCGAAAGCGUGGGGAGCAAACAGG
rnacentral:rRNA from 1 species